rnacentral:rRNA from 1 species
UGAAUACGAGAUGCUACGGCGUCGAAGCAGUCUAUGUCAUACUUCCAAGAAAAGCUUGCACUGUCAUAAACAAAUAAUGCCUGUACCAUAACCGACACAGGUGGGUAGGUAGAGUAUACUAAGGGGCGCGAGAUAACUCUCUCUAAGGAACUCGGCAAAAUGACUCCGUAACUUCGGGAGAAGGAGUGCCUUAUUUAUAAGGUUGCAAUAACAAGAUCCAAGCAACUGUUUACCAAAAACACAGGUCUCCGCUAAGUCGUAAGACGAUGUAUGGGGGCUGACGCCUGCCCAGUGCCAGAAGGUUAAAGAAGUUGGUUAGCAUCCGCGAAGCUGAUAACUGAAGCCCUGGUGAACGGCGGCCGUAACUAUAACGGUCCUAAGGUAGCGAAAUUCCUUGUCGGGUAAGUUCCGACCCGCACGAAAGGCGUAAUGAUUUGGAUACUGUCUCGGAGAGGGGCUCGGUGAAAUAGACUUGUCUGUGAAGAUGCGGACUACCUGCACCAGGACAGAAAGACCCUAUGAAGCUUUACUGUAACCUGAAAUUGAAAUUGGACUUUACUUGCGCAGUAUAGGUGGGAGGCGUUGAGAAUAUUCUUGCGGGAUUAUUGGAGCCAUCAGUGAGAUACCACUCUUGUAAUGUUAGAUUUCUAACUUUGUAUCAUUAUCUGGUCAAAGAACAGUUUCAGGCGGGCAGUUUGACUGGGGCGGUCGCCUCCUAAACGGUAACGGAGGCGCACAAAGGUUUCCUCUGAACGGGUAGAAAUCGUAUCUAGAGUGUAAAGGCAUAAGGAAGCUUGACUGUGAGACCUACAAGUCGAGCAGGGACGAAAGUCGGUCUUAGUGAUCUGACGGUGCUGAGUGGAAAGGCCGUCACUCAACGGAUAAAAGUUACUCUAGGAUAACAGGCUGAUCUCCCCCAAGAGUUCACAUCGACGGGGAGGUUUGGCACCUCGAUGUCGGCUCAUCGCAUCCUGGGGCGGUAGUACGUCCCAAGGGUUGGGCUGUUCGCCCAUGAAAGCGGUACGCGAGCUGGGUUCAGAACGUCGUGAGACAGUUCGGUCCAUAUCCGGUGUAGGCGUUAGAAUAUUGAGAGGAGCCUUCUUUAGUACGAGAGGACCGAGAAGGACAUACCUCUGGUGUACCAGUUAUCGUGCCAACGGUAAACGCUGGGUAGCUAUGUGUGGAGUGGAUAACCGCUGAAAGCAUCUAAGUGGGAAGCCCACCUCAAGAUAAGUAUUCUCAUCA